AAAAAAAAAAAAAAAUCUCUCACAUGAACAAAGCCAGCAUGAAAACCACCUCUUCCAUGCCGCACGUAUUCCUCGCCCUGGACCUUUUAUUGGGCCUAGCCGAACCGGACCCAGACUCUCCUCAAGAUUACUGCAUUGCUGAUACAAAACUCUCUUUUUACUUGAAUGGUGUACCAUGUAUCAACCCAAACCUCGCAACUACUGCCCAUUUCACCGCAUCGGCCCUCGCCAAGGCUGGGAACACUAGAGCGGUAGAGCCAACCCUAUCGGCUUCAACGUCACACUCACUACUGUAGCUAAUUUACCAGGAAUAAACACCUUGGGCCUAUCCCUGGCCCGGGUUGAUAUUGCAGCGAAUGGAAUUGUGCCACCUCAUUCGAACCCACGGGCCUCGGAAGUAACUAUUUGCCUUAAGGGUUCAAUCCUUGUGGGCUUUGUUGAUACUUCUAAUCGUUUGUAUUCCCAACAAUUGCGGGCUGGGGAAUCAUUUGUGUUUCCUAAAGGAUUAAUUCUUUUUCUGUUUAAUGUAGACUCAAUGAAACCAGCACAGCACUGGCUGUUUCUGGGUUUAGCAGCCAAAAUCCUGGUGCCCAAAUAGCUUCUAUUGCAGCUUUCACAUCAAAUCCCCACAUUCCAGAUGAUGUUGUGAAGAAAGCAUUUCAAAUUACCACCCAAGAGGUCGUGAAGAUCAGUAAAAACCUUGGAGGAUAAUUAUGCCGCGAGCAAGUCUAAUAAGAGUAGAGAGCAAUGUGACUGUGACCAUCGACAAUGCCCAUGUAAUGCGAGUGUAUUACAUCCUGUGCAUCUUAGGGCAGUUCUGAGAGCCCAUAACAUGUCUCUUAUUCUAUGAAAAUAAUGAAUAUUUUUGGAGCUUCAUUGUGCAUAUUGCUUUGUUAAGGCUGUGUAUAGAAAGAGUAAAUUUGAACUCAAAGAAG
rnacentral:misc_RNA from 1 species